UCCCAACCCUGGCAUGGAUCAAGCCCAACAAACUGUGGAGUACUACUGUCCAGCAGAAAGAAUUCAUCAGAACUCUCAGAAAGCUGUCGGUUGUGCUUGCUGGAAUUAGGGCUCAUAGUGCAAAUGAUGGCUGUCCUGGCAUUGCCUCCCAAAGAAUUUUGCAGUAUGCGUGUUAGUUUAGAGUCUCUGUAAGAUGGAAAGAAGUUCCUGCAGGUGGUUCUGGUCUCUCAAAAUCUCCUCUGAAAGUUUCUCGAUAACAGUCCCUUUCUAUUGGAGUAGCAUUAGAGAAACUUUUGAUCAGUCAUUUGAAUUAUGUUUUAUAUGAACAUGUGUCUGUGUGAACGCACACUCGAGCGCGUGCACGCUGAUUAUGAAAGGAAUACAUUAUUCACCUCUGGA